AAUAGUUUUCGUUUUUUUGGGACACCCUGUAUAAUACUGUUAUGCGCUUCCAUUAUUAAUAGUGUUAUGUUAUAUACAGGGUGUCCCAAAAAACCGAAAACUAUUGAAAUA